rnacentral:rRNA from 1 species
GGUAUCCGGGGUACCGGAACCGCGCGUUAAUAAAAAAAUUACUUGUUUGAAUUCAAACCAGUGUGUGAUUAAAAAAAAGAGAACACCUGUCUCCUAAGGAAGGGCAAUGAAAUUGAACUACCAGUUCAACAGCUGGUAUAAAAAAGCAAGACGAAAAGACCCUGUGGAACUUUAAUUAACUGCUUUACAUACAAAACCAGUAAUUUCAGUUGGGACAACUUUAGAAAAAAUAAACUUCCUAAUUUUACUAGACUGACUAGUCAAAACAAUCAUGACCCAGUAACACUGAUUAACGAAACAAGCUACCCCAGGGAUAACAGCGCCACCUUCUCAAAGAGUCCAUAUCAACAAGAAGAUCUACGACCUCGAUGUUGGAUCAGGGUACCCAGACGGUGCAACACCUGUCAAUGGUUCGUUUGUUCCACGAUUAA